rnacentral:lncRNA from 1 species
AGAACACCAGUUAUUACUUAUUAGCUAUAGACAGCAACAUCCAGAUAGAGAUCUUGUUAUAGAAAUGAGUCCAAAUAAGUGAGGAAGAAGAAAAGGUGUAUGCGUGAUUAUUCGGUCAUUUGUUGCAUGUUGUCCCAUACUUCAGUGAACUCACUAAUAAGUGAGAUGGUUUCAUCUAACCUGAUUUCCCUCAUAUCCAGAAGGUGUCUUAUGACUCUUAUCUGAAUUUGUAUGGAUCAAUGGCUCAUAGUGUGAAUAGAGUGCUUACAUGGAACAGGGAACAGGGGAACUUGACAUAAAAGGAAACCAAAUUUUGGUUAUGCAACAGUAACAACUUGAAUGAGAGUGAACAAAGUUGGCAUCAACAAGCUCUUUGUCCCUUUUAAUGUUGUAAUCUUUAUAGUACCGAGUGGGAGACUUCAUAGCUUUUCUGCUUGCUGAUCAGUUGUUAUCCUUUCAUAUGUAGUGCCUAUUUUGUUUCUAUACAUAGAGAUGUUCUUCUAGGCACUUUGCACACUGCACACCCUCAAUUUUAGAUUAUAUAUAGGAUUCAAACAAACAGAUACCGAUGUAAAAGAGGGUUGUUUUCGUGCUCACUUCAUGUAUGUGCCCCGAUAUAUGUGUGUCUGCGGCUGAACUAAAACCCUUUUGUAUAAAUACUAGUACACGGGCACGUGCAACGCACGUGUAGACUAACGAACAUUUUUUUGUCGUCCAUAUUUGAUGUAAAGAUUUCAUACUCAACUUUCAAGUUAGCUAAUGUGUACAAAUGUUUUUUAGUACGUCAUCAAAUAACAAAUGUCAUUUAUCUGAAUUUGCUUUGCACCUGGAACUAAGUAGGGAAGCUGGAAUAUAACCAUAGUGCAAGUAUCCACAAAUUUUGAUUCGGGCUUGUUAGACAUGACAGAACAUCAACACUAAGGGUUAUGUUCUUUUAUAGGGAUAGGGAAACAGGAGUAGAAUAGUAAACGUGCACAUACAAUGCACCUUCGCAAGCAU